CACAUUGCAGAGGACGUGGGGCGCCUGGUCAAGAAGAGCAGGGAUCUGGAGCAGCAGCUGCAGGAUGAGCUCCUGGAGGUGGUCUCAGAGCUCCAGACGGCCAAGAAGACGUACCAGGCAUAUCACAUGGAGAGCGUGAAUGCCGAGGCCAAGCUCCGGGAGGCCGAGCGGCAGGAGGAGAAGCGGGCAGGCCGGAGUGUCCCCACCACCACCGCUGGUGCCACUGAGGCAGGGCCCCUCCGCAAGAGCUCCCUCAAGAAGGGAGGGAGGCUGGUGGAGAAGGUGGGCCUGGAGGGCACCUCAGACGCAGGCCUAUGGGCCAUGGGCCCUAACUAGGACCUGCUGUGCUGAGGGGGAAGUCAGGGCUGGGUGCAGGGGAGGGCAGGAGUGGCAGGACAGUGCCAUCAGGUUCCAGGGAUUCCAUACGGAAGGCUCCCAGGGCCUGAGAGAGCGGGGAAAACAGUCGCCUGGCCCUGGACAGCCCCAUGCAGCCUCU
rnacentral:sRNA from 1 species